CAUAGGUUAAUGAGGCGAACCGGGGGAACUGAAACAUCUAAGUACCCCGAGGAAAAGAAAUCAACCGAGAUUCCCCCAGUAGCGGCGAGCGAACGGGGAGGAGCCCAGAGCCUGAAUCAGUGUGUGUGUUAGUGGAAGCGUCUGGAAAGGCGCGCGAUACAGGGUGACAGCCCCGUACACAAAAAUGCACAUACUGUGAGCUCGAUGAGUAGGGCGGGACACGUGGUAUCCUGUCUGAAUAUGGGGGGACCAUCCUCCAAGGCUAAAUACUCCUGACUGACCGAUAGUGAACCAGUACCGUGAGGGAAAGGCGAAAAGAACCCCGGCGAGGGGAGUGAAAAAGAACCUGAAACCGUGUACGUACAAGCAGUGGGAGCCUCUUUUAUGG
rnacentral:rRNA from 1 species